CAGUCGAGCGGACAGAUGGGAGCUUGCUCCCUGAUGUUAGCGGCGGACGGGUGAGUAACACGUGGGUAACCUGCCUGUAAGACUGGGAUAACUCCGGGAAACCGGGGCUAAUACCGGAUGGUUGUUUGAACCGCAUGGUUCAGACAUAAAAGGUGGCUUCGGCUACCACUUACAGAUGGACCCGCGGCGCAUUAGCUAGUUGGUGAGGUAACGGCUCACCAAGGCGACGAUGCGUAGCCGACCUGAGAGGGUGAUCGGCCACACUGGGACUGAGACACGGCCCAGACUCCUACGGGAGGCAGCAGUAGGGAAUCUUCCGCAAUGGACGAAAGUCUGACGGAGCAACGCCGCGUGAGUGAUGAAGGUUUUCGGAUCGUAAAGCUCUGUUGUUAGGGAAGAACAAGUGCCGUUCAAAUAGGGCGGCACCUUGACGGUACCUAACCAGAAAGCCACGGCUAACUACGUGCCAGCAGCCGCGGUAAUACGUAGGUGGCAAGCGUUGUCCGGAAUUAUUGGGCGUAAAGGGCUCGCAGGCGGUUUCUUAAGUCUGAUGUGAAAGCCCCCGGCUCAACCGGGGAGGGUCAUUGGAAACUGGGGAACUUGAGUGCAGAAGAGGAGAGUGGAAUUCCACGUGUAGCGGUGAAAUGCGUAGAGAUGUGGAGGAACACCAGUGGCGAAGGCGACUCUCUGGUCUGUAACUGACGCUGAGGAGCGAAAGCGUGGGGAGCGAACAGGAUUAGAUACCCUGGUAGUCCACGCCGUAAACGAUGAGUGCUAAGUGUUAGGGGGUUUCCGCCCCUUAGUGCUGCAGCUAACGCAUUAAGCACUCCGCCUGGGGAGUACGGUCGCAAGACUGAACUCAAAGGAAUUGACGGGGGCCCGCAC
rnacentral:rRNA from 1 species